rnacentral:rRNA from 1 species
UCCAGACUCCUACGGGAGGCAGCAGUGGGGAAUAUUGCACAAUGGGGGAAACCCUGAUGCAGCGACGCCGCGUGAGUGAAGAAGUAAUUCGUUAUGUAAAGCUCUAUCAGCAGGGAAGAAAAUGACGGUACCUGACCAAGAAGCCCCGGCUAACUACGUGCCAGCAGCCGCGGUAAUACGUAGGGGGCAAGCGUUAUCCGGAUUUACUGGGUGUAAAGGGAGCGUAGACGGCAGCACAAGUCUGGAGUGAAAUCCCGGGGCUUAACCCCGGAACUGCUUUGGAAACUGGCAGGCUGGAGUGCCGGAGAGGCAGGCGGAAUUCCUAGUGUAGCGGUGAAAUGCGUAGAUAUUAGGAGGAACACCAGUGGCGAAGGCGGCCUGCUGGACGGUGACUGACGCUGAGGCUCGAAAGCGUGGGGAGCAAACAGGAUUAGAUACCCCUGUA